rnacentral:rRNA from 1 species
UGGGGAAUAUUGCACAAUGGGCGAAAGCCUGAUGCAGCGACGCCGCGUGAGGGAUGACGGCCUUCGGGUUGUAAACCUCUUUCAGCAGGGAAGAAGCUGCCGGGUUUUCCCGGUGGUGACGGUACCUGCAGAAGAAGCACCGGCUAACUACGUGCCAGCAGCCGCGGUAAUACGUAGGGUGCAAGCGUUGUCCGGAAUUAUUGGGCGUAAAGAGCUCGUAGGCGGCUUGUCGCGUCGGAUGUGAAAGCCCGGGGCUUAACCCCGGGUCUGCAUUCGAUACGGGCAGGCUAGAGUUCGGUAGGGGAGAUCGGAAUUCCUGGUGUAGCGGUGAAAUGCGCAGAUAUCAGGAGGAACACCGGUGGCGAAGGCGGAUCUCUGGGCCGAUACUGACGCUGAGGAGCGAAAGCGUGGGGAGCGAACAGG